AUACCUCAAGCCGAACGCUUUCUUGGCGGUCUCGUGCUUGGAUUUGGACUUUGCUGUUGUCACCAGCAGCUGGUCUUAAAUGCAUUAGCUGACCCAUGCUUGUGUGCUUGGUUCUACUCGGCGUGAUAAUUAUCUGACCGCUGAGGACAUUUGCCCUAGUGCGAAUGGCCAGGUGUGCCUUGGGUUGCUUCUAAUCGCGGACUUUACGCAUCUUUUCAA
rnacentral:misc_RNA from 1 species